GGUGAAAAUUCUCCCAAAAACAUUCGUGCAAAGAAAAAUGCCUGGAAAAUAAAUUCGCGCGGCCAUUACGUCAGAGAACAAAAUUCGUGCAAGCAAACAGCAAAGUGCAAAUAGUCUUGAAAUACAAUUCUUGCAGAGGUUAAAUGAAUAAAAAAAAUCCUGCAGAGACAUGAAAUAUUUUAUACCCCCUCCCGGGAUUUCUAAUGGUCCGCCCCUUACAAAUAGUUAUAACUGUAAUUAAAUCUGGAAAGCCCUGUUGGGAAGUUUUAACAAGUAUAACAUAGAAUUAGAACGUUUAUAUACACAGUAAUAAUAGGAACCAGCUACACCGUCAACGUACUUAUUUUUUUGAUUACGUCGCUUUGUGAUAAUGCGCAUAGGUUUUAUGAAAAGUACCAGUUUUUCUAUAAAUUCUAUAUCUAUACACAUACAACACAUGGCUUAUUAUAGGACUCCAUUCACACCUUAUCUAUUUUUAGAUGACUAAGCCCCAUGUACAAAAUUUUAGGGGCUCAAACCAUAGAGAUUAUAAAUAACACUAGAGG